rnacentral:lncRNA from 13 species
AUGACACAGUCAGAAUCAUCAACCACUACAGAUGUGAAUGAGUGUGUGACCAGCACGCACAGUUGCCAGGCCAGUGAGCGCUGUGUGAACACCGUGGGAUCGUUUGUGUGUGAGAGGACCGUCACUUGUCCUGCUGGCUUCCAGCUCAGGAACCAAGUCUGUGAGGAUAUUGAUGAGUGUAUGGUGUCUUCUCUCCUCCAGAUAUUGAUGAGUGUAUGGUGUCUCCUCUCCUCCAGAUAUUGAUGAGUGUAUGGUGUCUUCUCUCCUCCAGAUAUUGAUGAGUGUAUGGUGUCUUCUCUCCUCCAGAUAUUGAUGAGUGUAUGGUGUCUCCUCUCCUCCAGAUAUUGAUGAGUGUAUGGUGUCUCCUCUCCUCCAGAUAUUGAUGAGUGUAUGGUGUCUCCUCUCCUCCAUAUAUUGAUGAGUGUAUGGUGUCUUCUCUCCUCCAGAUAUUGAUGAGUGUAUGGUGUCUCCUCUCCUCCAGAUAUUGAUGAGUGUAUGGUGUCUCCUCUCCUCCAGAUAUUGAUUAGUGUAUGGUGUCUUCUCUCCUCCAGAUAUUGAUGAGUGUAUGGUGUCUUCUCUCCUCCAGAUAUUGAUGAGUGUAUGGUGUCUCCUCUCCUCCAGAUAUUGAUGAGUGUAUGGUGUCUUCUCUCCUCCAGAUAUUGAUGAGUGUAUGGUGUCUUCUCUCCUCCAGAUAUUGAUGAGUGUAUGGUGCGCAGCCACAACUGU